GGGUGCGGCGGGUCGUCCGCCGCAGGUCUCCACGGCUGGUCGGGCCGCCCGCCG
rnacentral:ncRNA from 1 species